UCUAGCAAUAGUUCAAAAGCUCCACUGUUGCAAAUUCCCUGAUCAUAUCUUUGCACUUUCGCGAAUUUUCCUCUUUGGAUCAUUGUUUCUUUUAUACACAUUAUAGCACAACAACCUCCAUAUGAAGGACUAAGUACUCUUGCUACUCCUAUUAGUAAGAUGCACAGAGUGUACUUACAAAAUAAAAUGAAAAAGUACAAUAAGUGUUAAUGUAAAUGUCCAAGCUGUUCAAAUCAUUUGACACCAUUGCAAUUGGACACUUUGCUUACUGAAGGAAAUACAUCACGAUUUUGGCCGGUUGGUUCUGUGGAAGAUUUUGGUCACUAUUUUCUACUUAGUAUUUUGACCCUCUGAAGGUAAAAAAAAACAUACAUAUUUUUAUCUUGAUAAUUGUGAAUGCUUAGGGGAUUUGGUGCCUGUAAUCCUAGAGUAGUUGAGCAAAUAAACUUUUAGUAUUCUUGGCUCUGUAAUGUUGUCAGCACUAUGUUAUUAACUUUAUUCCUGUGGUGCCUAAUUGUUCUCUACUAAUUCAUACUCUCCCUUUUCUUCCACUUAUCUAUUUCUUUUUAGUUUCCACAUUCUUCUAUUUAUCUAUUACAGAGGCAAGCUAGCAAAUUUAGUUAAAAUUCUUUCAAAAUUACAGUAAAUAAAUGAGUAGAUGAUGCUGUAUUUCUUGGUGUAUUAUUGUUUACUCUAUCGUCACAUGUGUUAUAUGAGCUGGAUUUAAUGGUAUUGUGGUGUUGAAGUCACUUGAAGCGCAGCUUGAACCAAUUUCCAGUGCAUCUGUUAUCUGGGAAUGCUAUAGAGGUUGCGCGCUUGCAAGAGUUUGAUUCUGAGCUAUAUAUUUUUGGUCCUACCAUUACGAAGAAAAUAACACUGUCAAAAUAAUUACAACGAUACUGCUAAUAUGGGAGAGAGUAUAGAAUCUACAACUUAAAAAUUUGAGCACUCAGAACUGCAGAACAUAGCAUGCUUGUACUCCCAGUUAUACGUGUGACUACUCUGGCUUUUCAGGAUAAGCUGAUUGCAAACUUUUUUGUAAAAUUGCUUACAUAAUUGAACGAUAAAAGAGGUGUGCCUACAACACAUUCGGAACAAAAGAACUAACUUAGCCUGCACAGUAUUUCAGGAAUAAAGAGCGCACCUGUGAAGCUGGAUAACAACUACAUCACAUAUUGGAAAGCACACGCUUGAAAUUGGUUAACCACCAACAGAGUAGCGGAUAAGAGGACCAGGCUGUGUAAAGAAAAUGGCAAAUAGUCACAGACUUUCUUAAGGAAUUUGCCUCAGCUCCAAUUUGUUCUGAGAAUAACCUUCUUAUUCGGACAACGGGUCCGAUCAAAAGGCAAUGCCAUACAGGGCGGAUGUAGUGUGUUACCAACGGGUUCAAUUGAAUCCAUUACUUUCGAUUCAGAAUAAGAUUUUUAUGUAAAUAUUCUUUAAAAUUGCAAAAAUAUAUGCAAAAAUUUAUUUUCUAAAAAGUAUUUUCUGAAAAAAUAUUCUAUGUAUGAUAUACUAGAAAUCGGUGAACCUAUGUAUGAAAUUU